rnacentral:rRNA from 1 species
AGUGAACGCUGGCGGUAGGCCUAACACAUGCAAGUCGAACGGCAGCACAGUAAUAGCUUGCUCUUACGGGUGGCGAGUGGCGGACGGGUGAGGAAUACAUCGGAAUCUACUUUUUCGUGGGGGAUCACGUAGGGAAACUUACGCUAAUACCGCAUACGACCUACGGUUGAAAGCAGUGGAUCUUCGGACCUUGCGCGAUUGAAUGCGCCGAUGUCGGAUUAGCUAGUUGGCGGGGUAAAGGCCCACCAAGGCGACGAUCCGUAGCUGGUCUGAGAGGAUGAUCAGCCACACUGGAACUGAGACACGGGCAAGAGUACUACGGGAGGCAGCAGUGGGGAAUAUGGGACAAUGGGCGCAAGCAUGAUCCAGCCAGACCGAGUGGGUGAAGAAGGCCUUCGGGUUGUAAAGCCCUUUUGUUGGGAAAGAAAAGCAGCAGGUUAAGACCCCGCUGUUCUGACGGUACCCAAAGAAUAAGCACCGGCUAACUUCGUG